AACGUAGGAGGCGAGCGUUAUCCGGAUUCACUGGGCGUAAAGCGCGCGUAGGCGGUUGGCUAAGUCGGAUGUGAAAGCCCCUGGCUCAACUGGGGGAGGCCAUUCGAGACUGGUCGGCUUGAGGGUGAGAGAGGGAAGUGGAAUUCCCGGUGUAGCGGUGGAAUGCGUAGAGAUCGGGAGGAACACCAGUGGCGAAAGCGGCUUCCUGGCUCACCCCUGACGCUGAUAGCGCGAAAGCGUGGGGAGCAAACGGG
rnacentral:rRNA from 1 species